AAUUUAAUGGUACAUUUAGCAGCCUGGGGUUUUCUAUAAAAGGUUGUGUGUUAUGUUAAUAACAUAACGUCCCUCAGAAAACAUUAUGGUCGCCCGAAGCUUCUUCUGGAAUUUAGUGGUCUUCAUGGCAGCAGCAUGCAGUUGGAACGCCUUGCAGGAUUGCCCUCCUGCCAUGUUCCCAAAGAACGGAAAGAAGCUCCCCGGAUAAAUAUAAAUUUUGUGAAGAUUUUAUAAAUAAAAUAAAAAGCUGUUUCUUGCGCAUUGCAAA